UUCAGACGAUGCGUCAUGCAUAUCAAUAAGCGGAGGAAAAGAAACUAACAAGGAUUCCCCUAGUAACGGCGGAGUGAAGCGGGAAGAGCUCAAAUUUGAAAUCUUAAAGGGUUUCCCUUUACGAAUUGUAGUUUAAAGAAGUGUUUUCUGUUGAGGUUUUGGUAAAAGUUCUUUGGAAUAGGACAUCAUAGAGGGUGAGAAUCCCGUAUUUGACCUUUACUUUCAACUUUGUGAUACACUUUCAAAGAGUCGGAUUGUUUGGGAAUGCAGUCCAAAAUGGGUGGUAAAUUUCAUCUAAAGCUAAAUAUUGGCGAGAGACCGAUAGCGAACAAGUACCGUGAGGGAAAGAUGAAAAGAACUUUGAAAAGAGAGUUAAACAGUACGUGAAAUUGUCAAAAGGGAAGCGUUUGACACCAGUGUUGUUUUUCUGAAAAUCAAUUAAAGAACUGUUUAUGCUAAGUUGUUUAGACUUUAUCAGCUAACUGUUUAGUUUUGAGCUUUUCUUUAAUGCACUUUUCAGUUAACAAGUCAACAUCAAUUUCUUUUGCUGUAAAAAAGCUUGAGGAAGGUGGCUUGAGAUUCGUCUUAAGUGUUUAUAGCCUCUUGCCUAUGCAGUCGGAGAGAUUGAGGUCUGCAGCGUAGAUCCUUCGGGGCUAAAUGCAUUUGUGCUAAGUUAGAGCAUUUUAUAGACAACUUGUUGACUAUGAUUUGUCUUGUAGCUUACUCGCUUAUGUUAUUUUACCUACGCUUAGGAUGUUGACACACGCGCGUGCUCG
rnacentral:rRNA from 1 species